rnacentral:sRNA from 1 species
ACCCUGGGAAGGUGUGAUCACAGCGGAGGUGGGGCCCUGGAGAGGCAGGACCCUGGGAAGGUGUGAUCACAGCGGAGAUGGGCCCUGGAGUGAUGGGGUCACUGAGGAGGUGGAGAUCCCCAGAACUUGGAGCCAGAGAGAGAGGCAGGGCCUUGGUCCUGGCAGCAAGCGGCUGGGCAUCGAUGGCGACCGGGAGGCUGUUCCUCUAACACUACAGAUUAUUUACAGCAAGGGGGCCAUCAGUGGACGAAGUCGCUGGAGCAACCUGGAGAAGGUCUGUACCUCCGUGAACCUCAACAAGGCCUGCCGGAAGCAGGAGGAGCUGGGUGAGUGGGGUGCUCAGCGUGGGGUGUGCAGUAGGGAGGUGCUCUGAGCCUGGCCUGAGUGUCCUUGCCCUUCAGAUUCCAGCAUGGAGGCCCUGACGCUAAACCUGACAGAAGUGGUGAAAAGGCAGAACUCCAAAUCCAAGAAGGGCUUUAACCAGAUUAGCACAUCGCAGAUCAAAGUGGACAAGGUGCAGAUCAUCGGCUCCAACAGCUGCCCCUUUGCUGUGUGCCUGGACCAGGAUGAGAGAAAGAUCCUGCAGAGUGUAGUCAGAUGUGAGGUCUCACCGUGCUACAAGCCGGAGAAGAGCGACCUCUCCUCGCCACCCCAGACGCCUCCUGACCUGCCGGCCCAGGCCGCACCUGAUCUCUGCUCCCUUCUCUGCCUGCCCAUCAUGACUUUCAGUGGAGCUCUGCCCU